CUCACAGCUGCUGCCUGUCGCAACUUCGUGUUACUCAAGCUGUUGAGAUUCGGCUAUUGUCUGUAACAUUACAGUUCAACAUUGCAGGGUCACCUGCGGUGUCCCGCCAGCUAUGGAGCCGACUGCUGAUAGCCUGAGGGACUUCUUGAAAGAUAGAGGUGUCAGCGAAGAGUUUAUUCAGAAA